AGAGUUUGAUCAUGGCUCAGAUUGAACGCUGGCGGCAGGCCUAACACAUGCAAGUCGAGCGGUAGCACAGAGAGCUUGCUCUCGGGUGACGAGCGGCGGACGGGUGAGUAAUGUCUGGGAAACUGCCUGAUGGAGGGGGAUAACUACUGGAAACGGUAGCUAAUACCGCAUAACGUCGCAAGACCAAAGUGGGGGACCUUCGGGCCUCAUGCCAUCAGAUGUGCCCAGAUGGGAUUAGCUAGUAGGUGGGGUAACGGCUCACCUAGGCGACGAUCCCUAGCUGGUCUGAGAGGAUGACCAGCCACACUGGAACUGAGACACGGUCCAGACUCCUACGGGAGGCAGCAGUGGGGAAUAUUGCACAAUGGGCGCAAGCCUGAUGCAGCCAUGCCGCGUGUGUGAAGAAGGCCUUCGGGUUGUAAAGCACUUUCAGCGGGGAGGAAGGCGUUAAGGUUAAUAACCUUGGCGAUUGACGUUACCCGCAGAAGAAGCACCGGCUAACUCCGUGCCAGCAGCCGCGGUAAUACGGAGGGUGCAAGCGUUAAUCGGAAUUACUGGGCGUAAAGCGCACGCAGGCGGUCUGUCAAGUCGGAUGUGAAAUCCCCGGGCUUAACCUGGGAACUGCAUUCGAAACUGGCAGGCUAGAGUCUUGUAGAGGGGGGUAGAAUUCCAGGUGUAGCGGUGAAAUGCGUAGAGAUCUGGAGGAAUACCGGUGGCGAAGGCGGCCCCCUGGACAAAGACUGACGCUCAGGUGCGAAAGCGUGGGGAGCAAACAGGAUUAGAUACCCUGGUAGUCCACGCCGUAAACGAUGUCGAUUUGGAGGUUGUGCCCUUGAGGCGUGGCUUCCGGAGCUAACGCGUUAAAUCGACCGCCUGGGGAGUACGGCCGCAAGGUUAAAACUCAAAUGAAUUGACGGGGGCCCGCACAAGCGGUGGAGCAUGUGGUUUAAUUCGAUGCAACGCGAAGAACCUUACCUGGUCUUGACAUCCACAGAACUUUCCAGAGAUGGAUUGGUGCCUUCGGGAACUGUGAGACAGGUGCUGCAUGGCUGUCGUCAGCUCGUGUUGUGAAAUGUUGGGUUAAGUCCCGCAACGAGCGCAACCCUUAUCCUUUGUUGCCAGCGGUUAGGCCGGGAACUCAAAGGAGACUGCCAGUGAUAAACUGGAGGAAGGUGGGGAUGACGUCAAGUCAUCAUGGCCCUUACGACCAGGGCUACACACGUGCUACAAUGGCAUAUACAAAGAGAAGCGACCUCGCGAGAGCAAGCGGACCUCAUAAAGUAUGUCGUAGUCCGGAUUGGAGUCUGCAACUCGACUCCAUGAAGUCGGAAUCGCUAGUAAUCGUAGAUCAGAAUGCUACGGUGAAUACGUUCCCGGGCCUUGUACACACCGCCCGUCACACCAUGGGAGUGGGUUGCAAAAGAAGUAGGUAGCUUAACCUUCGGGAGGGCGCUUACCACUUUGUGAUUCAUGACUGGGGUGAAGUCGUAACAAGGUAACCGUAGGGGAACCUGCGGUUGGAUCACCU
rnacentral:rRNA from 1 species